GACGAACGCUGGCGGCGUGCUUAACACAUGCAAGUCGAACGGAAAGGCCCUGCUUUUGUGGGGUGCUCGAGUGGCGAACGGGUGAGUAACACGUGAGUAACCUGCCCUUGACUUUGGGAUAACUUCAGGAAACUGGGGCUAAUACCGGAUAGGAGCUCCUGCUGCAUGGUGGGGGUUGGAAAGUUUCGGCGGUUGGGGAUGGGCUCGCGGCGUAUCAGCUUGUUGGUGGGGUAGUGGCUUAACAAGCCUUUGACGGGUAGCCGGCCUGAGAGGGUGACCGGCCACAUUGGGACUGAGAUACGGCCCAGACGCCUCCGGGAGGAAGCAGUGGGGAAUAUUGGAGAAUGGGCGGAAGCUUGAUGCAGCAACGCCGCGUGCGGGAUGACGGCAUUCGGGUUGUAAACCGCUUUCGCUUGUGACGAAGAGUGAGUGACGGUAAUGUGUAAAGAAGCACCGGCUAACUACG
rnacentral:rRNA from 1 species